AACUUUCAGCAACGUAUCUCUUGGCUCUCGCAUCGAUGAAGAACGCAGCGAAAUGCGAUAAGUAAUGUGAAUUGCAGAAUUCAGUGAAUCAUCGAAUCUUUGAACGCACCUUGCACCCUUUGGCAUUCCGAAGGGUAUGCUCGUUUGAGUGUCAUUGUACUCUCAUGCUCCCGAUGCUUUUGGAUCGGGAGUGGUGGACUUGGGUGUUGCUGCUUUACUGUGGCUCACCUCAAAUGGAGUAGUGCAACUCUUGGUUGGACAUAGUACGGCGUGAUAAGUGUCUUCGCCGGCGCCUCAUUAGAGGGUGGCCGAUCGGGAGCUCUGUGCUUCAAACCGUCUUCGGACAACAUCUGACAACUUGACCUCAAAUCGAGUAGGACUACCCGCUGAACUUAAGCAUAUCAAUAAGCGGAGGCU
rnacentral:misc_RNA from 1 species